ACUGCUGUAUACUGCGCUCUACUUAACUGACUGACUAAUUAAUACGAAUGUGACUAAUGGAGGUUUAUUUCGUUAUCAAAACUCUUCUAAUUUAAAUUGUAAACACAAUCAUCUCUAUCGAAUAUAAUAUAGCCCCUGUUGAGGUUGAUGAGAGGUGUUAAGCAGGAAGGCAUUUAAGAUGAGGUGGCCAUGAGAAAAAGAGUGAGGUUUCGGCAAGAUUGUGUUGUUAGGUUUGCCUUUUCAAUAAAAAAUAAGCAAAAAAAAAAAAUAAACAUACAUGCACGAUGCACCUUCACCUUCAUAAUAACCAGAAACUCUACGAAAAAAAAAGUGGUUUACGUGUGCAGGCAGGAAAAAAAAUCUGAUUAGCAUAGUAUUUUAUGAAAUGCCGACAGACAAGCAAAAAAGAAAAAAUAUUUCGCAACAAAAUAAUUAUUACAAAAAAGCUUGUGGGGAAAUGGGAAGCAUGAAGAAAAAAAAAUCAUCGUCGUUAGCAGACCGAAGAAAUCAAUCGUAUGAAAACACAGACGCAAAAAAAAAACAACAGAAAGAAAAUGCAAUCCUAGGU